UUUGUUUUUGUUUACAACAUUUCGAGGGUGUACAGAACUCGGUUCAAAAACUUUUUCAUCCGCGAGAAGAUUGGGUAUUUUAAAAAGGUGUAGUUUUAUUCGGUGAAUCGGACAUCAAGAAUGGCGACUUCGAAAAGGGUUAGGACGCGGCGAAAAGCUCAGAAGAAUCAUCCAUGCCAAAUGUGUCGACUAUGUAUGAGCGAGGAAUCACUGGAAAAUCUAUUCGGAGUGGAAGGCGUCCAUAAAUGGAUGUCGGAAUAUCUAUCGAUUGUGGUAUCCACCGAAGACCGCUUGAGUCAGGUCAUCUGCCUGAGUUGUCGAACACGGUUGAUAGAAUUCCAUCAGUUUCGGGAAAGAUGCCAGGAAGUGCAAGAUAUCCUGCAGGCCAUGACUAAAAAGUUAGCACCAAUGGAAGAUGGCAAGCAAUUCCAGUGUAAAAUUUGCCAUAAGGUUUACAGCGCAAGAAAGCACUUAACAGAUCACAACAGACUUCAUGGACCAAAAAUUCAUGUAUGUGGAUAUUGUGGAAAAGGCUUCCCAAUACGUCGUUAUUUACUUUGUCAUAUGAAGAAUCAUGCAAAUGAACAACCUGUGCAAGAGUUAAGCGGAAAUGAACAACCAAACUUUGAUGAACUUCCGUUUGUGAAGCUUGAACCGCAUGAGGAUGUGGUCUUACUGACUGAAUUACAGCCAGAAGAACCAGAAACGUUGCCCACCGUCGAAACACAAUCGGAAGAAUAUGAUUUGGAUCACGAGGAACUCAAAGAAAAGCAAGAUCCACUCGAACUAGAAAUGGCAUCUUUUCAAGAUGAAGAAGUAAUUGAUGAGAUUCACAUCGAAAAUGUGAAAAUUGAAGCGAGAGUGGACGAUGAUUGGGCAACAGGACUGCCAGAUAGCAGUGAAACGGACAGUGAGGUCGAAACCAAAGAGCCAUUUCAGUGCUACAUAUGCCUCAAGGUGCAUCCUACCAAGCACAAAUUGUCAGCUCAUAUUAAAGUACACGGACCGAAAAUUCAUGCAUGCGAAGUUUGCGAUUUUCGAUAUGCUCUACGAUCUGAUUUAAUAAGGCAUUUUCACUCCAAAUCCCAUCUGAGAAUUGUCGAACGAUUGAAGAAAGGCAAAGAAGCUAAAUCAACCGGAGCGGAGGUGAAACAGAAUGAAGAAAACACACAACAACUACGAUGUGAUGAGUGCAACAGAGAAUUCUUGGAUAAAACUAAACUAAAGGACCACAACAGACUAGUCCAUGGAUUUAAGAGACAUGCUUGCCCCGUUUGUCAUAAGCGAUUCGCUCUACCAUCUGAUUUAAAAAGACAUUUUCACUCCAAACUCCAUCAGAGAAUUGUCGAACGAUUGAAGAAAGGCAAAGAAGCUAAAUCAACCGAAGCGGAGGUGAAACAGAAAAAGGAAAACACGCAACAACUACGAUGUGAUGAGUGCAACAAGGUAUUCUUGGAUAAAACUAAACUAAAGGACCACAACAGACUAGUCCAUGCAUUUAAGAGACAUGCUUGCCCCGUUUGUCAUAAGCGAUUCGCUCUACCAAGUCACAUGCGUGGUCAUAUGCUAACGCAUGAUUCUGCCAAUGGAAAAGCAUUCAAAUGCGAUGUAUGUCAAAGGAGGUUUAAAAAUAAAAAUACAUUGUGGUUUCACAAAACGUCACAACAUGGUCAGAAGAAACACAAUGAUAAGCAGUUUGUAUUGAAAUAUCAAAUGGCUAAUCACAAAACAACGCACAAUAGAAAUGAAGAAAAACUGCUGGAAGUUAAAGCAGGUGAGUCAUUCAAGUGCGACAUAUGUCAACGAACCUUCCGGAGUAGACUGCACCUCGUGCAGCACAAGACACAAAGGCAUGGAGCGAAAAAACAUGCAUGUUCUAAAUGUGGAAAAGGAUUUGUAUUCCGAAGUCAGAUGCAAAAACAUUUGGCAACACACAAGCACCGGAAAGAAAGGAAAGCAGGAAAAUCCAUAACUCGAGAUUUGCCAUUUAAAUGUGAUAUAUGCCACAAUAGUUAUAAACACGUAAGAUCACUCCGAUUCCACUUGAAAUAUAGUCAUGGCACAAAACGACAUGAGUGUCACAUAUGCGGUUUGAAAUUUUUCUGGCGAUCUCGACUGCUGCGACAUAUGAAAUGUCAUGAUGAAAGUAUUGAUAUGGAGCAAGACUUCGAUUCAUUACAACUGUUACCUACUGAGCAGAAAGAAUCUUGCACAAAUCUUGACAGUGAAGUGAUUGUUAUUAAAAAGGAAAAACAUUCUGAGCACGACUCUACAACGCCUGUACUAACCGAAUUUAGAUCGUAAUGUUACAUGUUACUCCCCGUGUGGUGCUCAAGCCAUAAACGCAUAUAAACGGAAUUGAUUGGAGAAACAUAUGGCAACAACACACCAGCAAGAAGAGGAAUGCGAUCAACAAAAUCCAAGAAAUCCUGAAUGAAGCAUUCGAAUCAUAAAACAAGAUAACCUGAAUAAAAUUUCUACUAAGGAUGCUCAUUGCACGUACAAAUGGUA